CUCAGGACGAAAUACCCCGUGCUCCCAGACCGUCAGCGGCGGACGGGUGAGUAACACGUGGGCAACCUGCCUGUAAGACUGGGAUAACUCCGGGAAACCGGGGCUAAUACCGGAUAAUUCUUUUCCUCACAUGAGGAAAAGCUGAAAGAUGGCAUCUCGCUAUCACUUACAGAUGGGCCCGCGGCGCAUUAGCUAGUUGGUGAGGUAACGGCUCACCAAGGCCACGAUGCGUAGCCGACCUGAGAGGGUGAUCGGCCACACUGGGACUGAGACACGGCCCAGACUCCUACGGGAGGCAGCAGUAGGGAAUCUUCCGCAAUGGACGAAAGUCUGACGGAGCAACGCCGCGUGAGUGAUGAAGGUUUUCGGAUCGUAAAACUCUGUUGUCAGGGAAGAACAAGUACCGGAGUAACUGCCGGUACCUUGACGGUACCUGACCAGAAAGCCACGGCUAACUACGUGCCAGCAGCCGCGGUAAUACGUAGGUGGCAAGCGUUGUCCGGAAUUAUUGGGCGUAAAGCGCGCGCAGGCGGUUCCUUAAGUCUGAUGUGAAAGCCCCCGGCUCAACCGGGGAGGGUCAUUGGAAACUGGGGAACUUGAGUGCAGAAGAGAAGAGUGGAAUUCCACGUGUAGCGGUGAAUGCGUAGAGAUGUGGAGG
rnacentral:rRNA from 1 species